rnacentral:rRNA from 1 species
AGAUUGAACGCUGGCGGCAGGCCUAACACAUGCAAGUCGAGCGGUAGAGAGGUGCUUGCAUCUCUUGAGAGCGGCGGACGGGUGAGUAAUGCCUAGGAAUCUGCCUAGUGGUGGGGGAUAACGUUCGGAAACGGACGCUAAUACCGCAUACGUCCUACGGGAGAAAGCGGGGGACCUUCGGGCCUCGCGCCAUUAGAUGAGCCUAGGUCGGAUUAGCUAGUUGGUGAGGUAAUGGCUCACCAAGGCGACGAUCCGUAACUGGUCUGAGAGGAUGAUCAGUCACACUGGAACUGAGACACGGUCCAGACUCCUACGGGAGCAGCAGUAGGGGAAUA